rnacentral:rRNA from 1 species
GACGAACGCUGGCGGUGUGCUUAACACAUGCAAGUCGAACGGUAAGGCCCUUUCGGGGGUACACGAGUGGCGAACGGGUGAGUAACACGUGAGUAACCUGCCCUCAUCUCUGGGAUAACAGUCGGAAACGGUUGCUAAUACUGGAUAUGAGCUUGCAAGGCAUCUUGUGGGUUGGAAAGAUUUUUUUGGUUGGGGAUGGACUCGCGGCCUAUCAGCUUGUUGGUGAGGUAGUGGCUCACCAAGGCUUCGACGGGUAGCCGGCCUGAGAGGGCGACCGGCCACAUUGGGACUGAGAUACGGCCCAAACUCCUACGGGAGGCAGCAGUGGGGAAUAUUGCACAAUGGACGGAAGGCUGAUGCAGCAACGCCGCGUGCGGGAGGACGGCCUUCGGGUUGGAAACCGCUUUCAAUUGUGACGAAGCUUUUUGUGACGGUAGCAGUAGAAGAAGCACCGGCUAACUACGUG